AUGUCACCAACUAUGAAAACAUCUUCUCCAGGUUCAGAGUGUUUUGAAUCGUUUGUGCCGGAAUCAGAUAAUCAGAUGAAUCAUGAUACACUACCAUCACCUCCAUCCCCAUCUAGCUCGACAAUAUCUCCUGUUUUCCCAUUGCAUGAUAUUAAGGAACCAAAUUCACAUAAAGAGAUCAAAGUUGGUGAGACAUAUGAUUAUCUCCCACAAGACUAUACAUUGACCGACCAUGAUCUAUGUGCUCAUAUAGCAAUAGAAUCAUCUUUGAGAAAACAAUUGCUGGUUCAGAUAGAUGGAAGUUCUGUCUUGCAACAUCAAUUGAUGUGCCUGCUAGAUGAGAAAGAGUGGGUAAAUGAUGAUGUGAUCAAUGCCUAUAUAUGUUGUAUAAAGGACCAAAUACAUCUCCAGAAUGAUAAUAAAGUAUAUUUUGAGAGUCCAUUUGUUACCUCACUAUUUAAACGAGAUGGCACCAUUGGAAUACAAGAAGGUAGUGCCUUCAUGACAGAGAUUGUCCUCGAAUAUAUGCAGCAUGACAUGAUUAAACUUCCAAUAAAUGCCACUAACACACAUUGGUAUUUAGCUGUUGUGAAUACAAAAAGAUGUGAGGUUCAAGUUCUAGACUCAUUGUGCUGGAAUUCUGACAGAGAUGAUCUUGCUAAUACGCUACGAGGAAUACAAUUUCAUUUGGACCUUCUUAAAAGUCAAAAGUUGGUAAGCGACGAUUGGAAAGACGUUGAUCUUACUGAAUGGAAGAUCACAGAACAAUUACAAAAGGCAAUUCAAAAAGAUAGUUCUUCAUGUGGUUUAUUUGUGGUUAAAUUUAUGGAAUAUUUCACCGGAUGUGCACUAUCCUACCCAAUUACACAGGAAAUGAUUACUUCUUUUAGGUUUAAGUUAGCCAGCAUACUAUUAUGUUGGAAAACAAACACUGCAGCAAUGACUACAAUCGUUGAAGAAAGUAACGAUGACAGCAAGGGAGAUCCUGAUGAUGUUCAAAUAUUGGAAAGUUUAGAUGAUAUAGAAAAAACAAAAACAAAAAUCCCAUUAUCUGUUGAAAAUAAAUACAGAUCACUAAUAUCAAUUCUUUCUAAUAUGACCUUACAUGAGUUAACAGCUGGACUCUGUAGCUUCAUUAAAUCAAUUAAUUACACCGAGAUUUUAGAGAAAGUAUGGAUCCGAAGUUCAAAACCAUAUCCAAUUAGCUUGUUUCUCAGAAAACUACAAGGAUUGCUAAAGGAUGAUUUACCCAUGGACCGUGAUUGCUUUAAUUUGAUCGUACGGAAGAUUAUGUUGGAUGACAUCCAAACAUCACAAAAAACAAAGCAACUGAUAGCAAAGCAUUAUCUCGACAUGAAAUUUUGGAUGACUACUGAUUUUGGGAGGCACCCAGAUUUUCGUAAAAAGUUAGAUGUGGAGCAACUAGCAAAUUCUGUUCGUAGUUGGCCUGGUAUCAAAUAUAAUGUUUCAACAUGCAAAUCGAUCCAUAUUCCAGUACAAUGCAUUGGUGAAUUCAUUCUAUUCACAUUGGAUCAAGAUACCAGAACAGUGUACAUUUUGGACCCUACUCCUAUUAAUCCAAUGUACCGAUACAACCCACUCGCAAAAUAUGUGAAAAAAAUUAUAUGGAUUUCCGAACAUUUACCGAAAGCAAUGUCAAAAGCAUGCCCUGGGUCUAGAUGGAACGAGGAUAUUCUCUUAUGGCAUCAUAGAAUCCUAGAUGAUAUUCCAGUUUACAACAGGGAAUUGUCUGGUUAUCUUGUUCCCCUAUUCAUGUCCACAUGGGAAGACGAAAGACCACAUUUGCCAUUUUUAAAGGAUGGAUAUGAACUCAGAAAACUAAUUUUGGGCCAACUACUAACAUUCAAGGACAAUGAAUGUGAAGAUAACAUGCCUGCUGGUGUACUGGACUUCAUCAAUUGUAUUAGGAAAAUCCAAAGUUAA
rnacentral:rRNA from 1 species